GGCAGGCCUAACACAUGCAAGUCGAGCGGCAGCACGGGUACUUGUACCUGGUGGCGAGCGGCGGACGGGUGAGUAAUACCUAGGAAUCUGCCUGGUAGUGGGGGAUAACGUUCGGAAACGGACGCUAAUACCGCAUACGUCCUACGGGAGAAAGCAGGGGACCUUCGGGCCUUGCACUAUCAGAUGAGCCUACGUCGGAUUAGCUUGUUGGUGAGGUAAUGGCUCACCAAGGCGACGAUCCGUAACUGGUCUGAGAGGAUGAUCAGUCACGCUGGAACUGAGACACGGUCCAGACUCCUACGGGAGGCAGCAGUGGGGAAUAUUGGACAAUGGGCGAAAGCCUGAUCCANCCAUGCCGCGUGUGUGAAGAAGGUCUUCGGAUUGUAAAUCACUUUAAGUUGGGAGGAAGGGCAUU
rnacentral:rRNA from 1 species